rnacentral:pre_miRNA from 1 species
UCUUCAUUUUACGUGCUCUCUCACCGGUCAGAGCGACGAGAGAGUGUGGGAAAUGAAGAGA